rnacentral:lncRNA from 1 species
UAUAAAUGCAGAAUAUGUCUUUGGAACAUGAAAAUGAAGGAAAGGAUGAACAGUGGAGAUCAAUAUGCUUGGAUUUGUCAACAAGCAGUGCAUGAGGGAAGAGCAAAACAAAUUUCUGUCAGACACAAAUCAAUCUUCAGUGGAUCAAAGGUUUCCUUCAGUUUUCUCAGGGUCUAAGGUUACGCCAGAUAGACAUGAUGGAUGACAGGUCUGUGUCACAGCAGUUGAAAGGAUGAGAAGGCGUACAGGCCAGAUGAUUGGUGGAAGAAGGGAGUUCGUUGUGAUCGACGGAAGUCAUUUUCAACACAAAAGAAAGGUAUGUUAUAGUAAUAGCGACCUUAAAUAAAUGUGCAAUAUAGUUACCAAAGAUACUGUUAUUAUAAUGUAUCUGUUUAUAUCUGUGUAUCUUGUGUUUUGUUUUUCUCC